UAAAAUAAGCAGGCUGUAAACAUACGGCUAAAAAAUAAAAAAGACAUUGUCUAGAAUCACGGGGGAGACCAAACUAAAGUGAAACUGAGACGAAGUUGGGAAAAUGGACUUAUGGCAGACUGGGGACCAAGGGAGGGCGUUCCUUAAGCACCCAGUAUUUCUUAGAUUUAGGAGCCCCCGAGACCUCUGCAACCUCGAAUAUUUGGAAACAGGAACCUCAGGUCAUUAUCGGGCACUGUCCAGAGCCAUCUUGGACAAAUUGCCUGAUGGCCUGGAGUGAUCUGGGAGGAGCAGGGAAGCCAGGAGUCCCUGAGUACCGACAAUCUGGGCCCCCGCAGCUCGCAGCUGUGUUUCAACUUCCCUUUGAGAAGGUUCCUCACUUCACCCCCUUGUCCGUACGGGUUGCUUCCAGCUCUGACGGAAGCUGACUCAGGCCAGCGCAGGGCUCCCGGGAAAUGUCGUCACUUCCCUUCCUGAUUCCUGCUGUGCUGACCCCCAAGGUCACUCUGGGCCUCAGGGGGAGGUGCUGCCCCCUUCACCUCCUGACUCCUGGGUGACCCUCGCCUUGAUGUCGAGCAUUCUGGGGCCUUCCUGUCCUUGGCAGAGAAGGAGAAAGUUUGUGACGUCUUCAUGGUUGCCCUGACCCACGUCAAGCUGGCCCAGCCCAUCUGGGAACAGACAAGGACUGGCAGAGGCAUCUGUGUGGUGCAGGAAAAAGUGCUGGAAUGGGAACUGGGCCCGAUGGGACCUCACCACCUCUCAUUCAGAAGACUGUCCCAGCCUGAGUUGGCCUCCCACCUCCAUUUUGGAAUCUUCACAAGAGAAUUCUUUCUAACACACAGGGGACAUGGUUCGAUCCCUGGUCUGGGGAGAUUUCACAUACCGCAGAGCAAGGAAGCCCAUGUGUGGCAAUCACUGAGCCCGCGACUCACAACUACUGAACCCAUGCCUCCUAGAGCCUGUGCUUCGCAACAGAAGAGACUUCAAGGAGAAACCGGCACACCGCAACUAGAGAAAGCUUGUGCAGCUAUGAAGACCCAGCACAGCCAAAAAUAAAUAAAUUAAUAACAAUUAUAAAAAGCAGAGUUGCGAGCCUAAAAUGUAUGUUGGCCAAGUUGCUUCCUGCUGAGCACUCCACCCUUUCGCUCCCCACAUGAGGAGCUCCUGUCAAGCUGAAAACCUCAGCCCCAGCGUCACCUCCCCUAGGAAGCCUUCCCAGAGGCUCUGGGGAGAUGCCAGCCCUCCCUCCCUUGGGACCUCCCUAGUGAGGGGUCAGGCUUCCAUCAUGGCACCACAAAGCGGAAGGGCAUUCGCUGGUUAUGUCACUCACUCCCCCACUCUUCCGGAAGCUUCUGCACUGCUCUCUCUAUUCCCAGUGUCCUCAUGAUUCACUUCCUCUCAGCACCUUUGCAACAGACAUUCUCUUCAACAGGAAGAGGUGAAAUACCCACUUCCCCCCUGGCAGAAAGCCCUUUCUAAGCUGUUUCAGCCAAGCCUCCGAGGGCAGCGAGCAGGAAGUUCAAGGUCUCUCCCCACAAGUGCUGCCUGCCCAUGGCUCCCUUCUCAACCCUUUCAGCCCUCCCCACCCCGGGCCCCCAGGGUCUUCUCGCUGUGCCCCCAUCAGAACAGGAGCCGUUGGCAAAGAGGACCCACUCCCCCUGCCCCCAGACUGUGAGCCCCUCACGGGAAGAGGUGAUGUCAAUGGCAUCCCAGGAACCCGGUGACCCCCUGC